UAGGAGUUAUUUUAGACAGUAAGCUUAGUUUAUCUAGCCAUUAUCAAACUAUCGUCACUAAAGCUCUUAAACUGUUAGGAUUUGUCUUACGUGUCUCGGCCGACUUUAAAGAUCCUUUCAGUUUAAAAACAUUAUACUGUUCUCUAGUCCGUCCCAUCCUGGAAUUUGCCAGUGUAGUUUGGUGUCCCCAUCAAAUCACAUACAUAGAUAAAAUUGAAAAAAUUCAGAAAAAAAUCACACGAGUUAUGUUUCAUCGUCUUCCCUGGUCAAACCAAAUUCCACGUCCUUCGUAUAAUGUUCGGUGUUUACUAUUCGGCUUAGAGACUUUACAGCAUAGGAGAACUACGGCUCAGAUAACUUUUAUGCAUAAAUUAUUAAUUGGAGAUUUUGAUGCACCUGACAUUUUAAAUUUUAUUUGCUUUUCUACUCCCUCUAGAGGUCUUAGAAGUAGAGUGCUACUAAGAAGCCCUUUUAGAUCGACUGGUUUUGGUGCCAAUGAUCCACUGCUCAAAAUGAUUGAUGUGUAUAAUAGGUUAGGGUUAUCAGCAGAUUUCAAUCAAUCCGUUAGUCAGCUGCGUCAGCAUAUUCAAGUUAGUUCUAGGGCCAUAAUUUAAACUUGUACUCUGUAAGCAUUAAGUUAUUUAGGCAUACUGCCCGAUAACUUUGAUUUAAAUAAAUAAAUAAAUAAAUAAAUAAAUAAAUAAAUAAAUAUGAUCAACACUUGUACAUAGUGCCAUUUACUUUGUGUUCUUCACUCUCGCGCUGUGUUUUGAUCGUUCGAAACUCAUUGCCAGAACGAAUGCAAAUUUCAUAUGGGAAUGAUCGGUGCCGGAAGAGGCAGCGAAAAUUAUGAAAUGAUAAUAGAAAAGUGGUUAAGUUAAUCGUGAAAGAUGUCAACGCAGACGUAAAUGUAGUAUGUUUUGUUACAUGAUCUACGGCUAUUUCAUUACCAAAGCUCCUGAUAACAGAUCAAAGCAGAUGGAUCGGGCAUACAGAGUCGCCGUUUAAUUUAAAAUAUCUGCGUGAUCGGUAAGUUUUAAAUAGUACUAGUUUUGUUCACCAUUCUAAUGCUCGAUUUAUCUUUCAUUCCUCAAGCAAACGCAUCAAACAGCAAGUGUUUUUCCUUCCAACAGCACGCACCAUCGGUGGUGCAGCAGCUAACGUUUUGUUCGCCUAGCGCGCACCAUCAAGAAUUGAUAUUUUGCCAAACAGUACUGUGAAUAAAAAACUGCACACUUACUGUAGGAA